UGGGGAAUUUUGGACAAUGGGCGAAAGCCUGAUCCAGCCAUGCCGCGUGCGGGAAGAAGGCCUUCGGGUUGUAAACCGCUUUUGUCAGGGAAGAAACGGCUCGGUCUAAUACAUUGAGCUAAUGACGGUACCUGAAGAAUAAGCACCGGCUAACUACGUGCCAGCAGCCGCGGUAAUACGUAGGGUGCAAGCGUUAAUCGGAAUUACUGGGCGUAAAGCGUGCGCAGGCGGCUUUGCAAGACAGAUGUGAAAUCCCCGGGCUCAACCUGGGAACUGCAUUUGUGACUGCAUGGCUAGAGUGCGGCAGAGGGGGAUGGAAUUCCGCGUGUAGCAGUGAAAUGCGUAGACAUGCGGAGGAACACCGAUGGCGAAGGCAAUCCCCUGGGCCUGCACUGACGCUCAUGCACGAAAGCGUGGGGAGCAAACA
rnacentral:rRNA from 1 species